UUGUAUUUUGCGGAGCUCUUUCUUACCGAGCCUUUCUCUAUUUUAGUGUUUUGCUGGGACCAAAGGAUUUGGGCACAGACUGACCUCUACCCUUCUCUGGAAAGCUUCCUGGUCUCCAGCCCUUUCCCGUCAUCACGGAUGAGUCAAGAGGAAGAUGCUCAGGUUUUACAAAAAUGCAGCAAGGUGACUCAGCUGAGGUCGGCAUUCACCAUGUGGAGAACUGGGGACAUUGCACUUCUGCAGAAGGUCUGUUCACAGGAAGACACUCUCGCCCAGGAGAUGAACUUGAAGUAGAAUGAAGACCUUGGCAUUCCCGUCAUGGCGCAGUGGUUAAUGAAUCUGAAUAGGAACCAUGAGGCUGCAGAUCUACCUGAAAUCUACCUAAAUCCUCCUGAAAAUGGAUAUCUUCCCAUUGUGAUUGGGACCUCAGCCAUCAGUGUUCUCCCUCUCUUCCUCCUCUUCCUCCUCCUCUGCCAUUGCUGGUGUCGAGCCAAACACAGUGGUGUCUCAGUGGAUAUCGCCUCUGAGGGGGACAGACAGAUGGACAUGGAGGUGAGGCUUUCCUCCUUCCCCCGAGGCCUCCCCCCCCCCGCCCCGUGUUCUCCCCUCACCUUGUAUCUUCUUGCUGACAGGCCCUCCCAGAGGAAGACCCACAGGACGUGAUCUCUGUUCAGCAACACUGAGAUUCCCUGAUGGGGAGUGUGGAUUCAGAGUUCUCCUGCACCCUUGAGGAAUCCUUGUGAUAGCCCUGUGUGUAUAUCACCCUCCCCUGGUCUUGAGUGCAGAGCCAGAACUGGCCAUGUGGACUCCAGCGCUUAAGGGCCCCUUAAGGAAGAUGCGGCGUCCCACUCGUGUCCCCCACAGCAGCAGCAUCUUGGAGCUCCCCAAAGACUCAAGAAUAGAGAAGCCUUGUCACCUGUCAAGAAAUUCUGGGAUGCAUCGCAUCCCUCAACCGAUUCCUGGUUCCUUCUGUUUUUAUCCCCUCAUUUGCUUAUUUAACAGAUAUUCGCAGAAGUUGACUCUUCCUUUGCACCUGUGCUGAGGAGGGACAGAUCAGUAGGACACAGCUCCUGGUCUUAAGGAGUGCCUGGCCUCCUGAGAGAGGCAAACCUUAUGAUCGCUUGGGCCCUUAGAAAGCAAAGAGGGGGUGAGCUACUGGAGCAGGGGAAGGAUGAUGUGGGCGACACAGGAAUACUCAUCCGGGUGCAUUUAAGGAGGACCCACAGGUACCCAACGCAAGGAGAAGUCAAGAAGACAUAGGAGUCAAACUGGGCGGGAGGGAGUUCCUGGUGGCAUUUUGCUCCAAUGCUCUAGGUUUUGUGUGAGCUGAAGCCUUCAGAGCAGCAAAAGGCGAACAAGAAAGAUUCUUUGUAAAGGAACCAAAUUGCAACUAUUUGACCGGAAGAAGGAUUUCUCUUGGGGAGGGGAAUGGUGCAGAGGGUGUUUGGGGGGGGGUAUGGUUUCCCUCUAGUUUUGGUGAAUUUCACUUUUUAGUUAUGCAAUGAAAAGAAAUAGAAUACAAUAUAACGAGAUGGGAGUGGCAGGAGAGGAAUUGGAGUUGGUAUUAAAGUAGAUGCGAAUGAUUACAUUUGAGAUGGAUGAGCAGUGAGGUCCUACAGUACAGCACAGGGGACUCUGUCCAGUCUCUUGGGAGAGACUAUGAUGGAAGAUAAUAGGAGAAAAAGAAUUUAUGUGACUGGGGCACUCUGCUGCACAGCAGAAAUUGGCACAACACUGUAAUAAAAAACCAAAAAAAAUACA
rnacentral:lncRNA from 1 species